AGUGCCAAGCAUUGUCAUCUCUAUUCUGGUUUAGCUUAAAAUUUUUAUUUGUAAAUCUGUGCCCAUAUGCAUUGUCGGAGAAACUAAAAAACUUACUCAUUCUCAGAUUGCAUUGUGGAAUAUGCAUCCAUUAUUCAAAGAAAGGGCAACAUUUCAAGCACUCACACUUUCUCUCCUUGCUAGCUAAAUUGGCUGACAAGCUAAAGAAGUUAGUGGAGGAUGAAAUUCAUUUUCUCAAGGGAAGGGUUUCAAAACUUGAAAGUGAUCUUGUGUCGAAGUCCACAAAAGUUACAUCUGCAGUUUCAAGGAAAGAAGAAGCUUUAUCUUC